rnacentral:tRNA from 1 species
UAAUGAGGUGCCUGAAAUUAAAGGAUAAUUUUGAUAGAAUUAAUAAUGUGGCCCCCACCCACCUUCA